AUUGAACGCUGGCGGCAUGCCUUACACAUGCAAGUCGAACGACAGCGGGGGAGAAGCUUGCUUUUCCUGCCGGCGAGUGGCGAACGGGUGAGUAAUGUAUCGGACCGUACCUUUCAGUGGGGGAUAACUAUCCGAAAGGAUAGAUAAUACCGCCUAUUCGGGGAGCAGGAAAGCAGGGGAUCGCAAUACCUUGCGCUCAUUGAGCGGCCGAUAUCAGAUUAGCUAGUUGGUGGGGUAAAGGCCUACCAAGGCUACGAUCGGUAGCGGGUAUGAGAGGAUGAUCCGCCACACUGGAACUGAGACACGGUCCAGACUCCUACGGGAGGCAGCAGUGGGGAAUUUUGGACAAUGGGGGCAACCCUGAUCCAGCCAUGCCGCGUGAGUGAAGAAGGCCUUCGGGUUGUAAAGCUCUUUCGUCCGGGAAGAAAUCGCAUCAGCUAAUACCUGGUGUGGAUGACGGUACCGGAAUAAGAAGCACCGGCUAACUACGUGCCAGCCGCCGCCGUAA
rnacentral:rRNA from 1 species